UACGUAGGACCCAAGCGUUAUCCGGAAUUACUGGGCGUAAAGAGUUGCGUAGGUGGCUUGGCAAGUAAGGUAUGAAAGCGUGUGGCUCAACCACAUAUCCAUACCUUAAACUGCCAAGCUUGAGCAUAGGAGAGGUAAUUGGAAUUCCCAGUGUAGGGGUGAAAUCCGUAGAUAUUGGGAGGAACACCGAUGGCGUAAGCAGAUUACUGGCCUAUUGCUGACACUCAGGCACGAAAGCGUGGGGAGCGAACGGG
rnacentral:rRNA from 1 species